CUCAUCUCCGCGUGGCGUGUGCAAUGCGCAACAACGGCGUACUCCCCAGAACCGCAAGCACACGCACCCACCUCUCGACGCGCUAAAGGAAGAACUGAGGGCAUUCGCCUCCGCCACAACUCUGCUAUUUCACCUUCACGGCAUCAAUCACCUUGCAGCAUCCUGUCUGCAGUGUUGCGAAGAGUGCCAUCCUUCCGUCGAGCCGUCUUCCCUCCACCCCGCCCUACUCUACCCCACCCCCACCCCGCCGCUGCCGCUGCCGCUGCCGUCAGCACCCUCAUCCAUGUCAGCCAUUAAGCGCUCGCUGAACGUGGGUGUGGUGGGCAUGGGUAACAUGGGCAUUCCCAUUACCCGAAACCUCGCCUUCAAGGCACGCAGCGCCAUGUAUUUGCAGAUCCACAGCCGCACUCUCAGCAAGGCGCGCCAAGUGUGCGAUGACAUGAGCGCCGAUGGCGCCACCUGCGCCAUGCGCAUCCACGACCGCUACAGCACCAUGACCAAGUGGUGUGACGUCAUCCUGCUGACCUUGGCACACCGGGCCGCCUCACGGAAGGUCCUCCUGGAGGACAGCGAGGCCCUCGUCACCAACGCCCGUCCUGGGCAGAUUAUCGUGGACCACACGACCGUGGACAUGGAGCUGUCGCGCGAGUGCGCCCACGAGGCAGAGCGGCGCGGUGCCGUCUUCCUCGACGCCCCGAUGAGCGGUAGUCCGAAGCAGGCCUUCAACAACCAGCUCGUGCUCAUGGUGGGUGGGCCGGCGGAGCAGGUGCAGCGGGUGUCGCCAAUCUUUCGUAUGUAUGCGGACAACAUCCAUCACAUGGGCGCCAAUGGCAGCGGCACGGCGGCUAAGCUGCUCUCUCAAGCGCUGGUGGCCUCGCACAAUGCCGCCGCCGCGGAGGCAAUGACGAUUGCGAAUCGGCUCGGCAUCGAGGACUACCAGAAGCUCAUCCAAGUCUUGGACGCCUCGUGGGGCUCGAGCACGAUGCUGCGCCGCAACGCGCCAACGAUGCAGGACCUCGUGCGCAACCCGGACAAGCUGGCACCAUCCUCUGGCGCCAGCAUCGACAACCUUCUCGAGGAUCUCGCGCUGCUCGACGCCUCCUUACCAAAGAUCGAGAAGGGCGACGACGGCAAUGGUGGGCGCGAGGUUGAGGAGGAGCGCUUCCCUGUGCUAGACGCGUCGCUGCGCAUGCUGGGCGCCGCCGCCGAAUCUGGGAUGGGUGACCGUGAUAUGGCGGCCGUCAUCCACUACAUCCCGGCGGCCGCCGCCAUGGAGAAAGAAGAGGGGGUCCGCGUUCAGCCUCGCGGGCUCACGUCCGGCGCUUUUCUUGGCCGAAACGCCACCGGAAGGGUGAGCAAUGGUCCAGCAGCAGCAGGGGCUGCAGUAGCGACUUCGUUGCCGCCGAUGUCGGCGGAGAUCGAGAUGGACCCGGGCUUUCUGGCGGACUCGCUCAGUGCCGCCGAAAGUAGCAGCAACGACAAAGGCAGCACGACGCAAGCCGCAUCAAUCGCGGAGCCGUUGACAACAGCUUCCUCGCAGCAGCCCCCAGCCUUCACCCUGGAGGACUUUUACUAGUACCUCCUUAAGGUCGGAGAGAGCGGAAGGGGUGUUGGUGGUGUUGGCGGCGUGUGUAAGGAGGGGGUGUACGCUGCCUACUGAAAAGACAUGCUGCCCCCUCCCCCUCCCCCAAACCUCCAUUGAGUCUGGUUUAUGUGCAUGUGUUUGUUGGUCACACAAGUUUCUCGGGGCCCCUCGCCAUCCUGUUUCUGAGAUGGAAGUCUCUCCCCCUCCUUUCCCGCCUCGGCAAUCUCGACUCUCGCUCUCUCGCAUGUGCAGUUUUCAAACGGGGGUGGGUGAGGUGGGAGUGCGGGGUGCCUACGCUUUAAGCAGCGCAGCGUGCACAUAUCUAUAAGGCGCUGCAGACGGUAAGUCGACAUGUGUCACGCGAGCAGCAGACCGAGAUGAAGAAGUAGAGGGUCGCCUGGGCAAUAUCAUCCAUCCCUCGCUGAGGGGAGGGGGGAGGAGGGGGUCCGCGCCCCCAAUCGUUGUCCUUCUCCGCCACGGCUGUGUUUGAGUAUACCACUGCGGCACGCAUGCCGAUCCUAUCCCCCUUCACUGUCCUCUUUGGGCCGCACCACCUCCUUGCGUCGUCUCAUUUUUUUUCUUCACACACACGCACACGCGCACUGGCUCUUCAUUGUCGGCGUCAUGUGGUUACCUUCUGGCGCGUCCAUGCGAUCGCGCCGCACUUCCAG
rnacentral:misc_RNA from 1 species